rnacentral:ncRNA from 2 species
AUGAAAAUGCUGGGGAGCUCGUAAGCGGGCUGAGAGUGUGCCAUGAAAGGCACUAACCCAUUAAACCUGUACGGAUAAUUCCGGCGUAGGGAAGUUGUAUAAAUGCGCGA